rnacentral:rRNA from 1 species
GAUGAACGCUGGCGGCGUGCCUAAUACAUGCAAGUCGAGCGAACAGACGAGGAGCUUGCUCCUCUGACGUUAGCGGCGGACGGGUGCGUAACACGUGGAUAACCUACCUAUAAGACUGGGAUAACUUCGGGAAACCGGAGCUAAUACCGGAUAAUAUAUUGAACCGCAUGGUUCAAUAGUGAAAGACGGUUUUGCUGUCACUUAUAGAUGGAUCCGCGCCGCAUUAGCUAGUUGGUAAGGUAACGGCUUACCAAGGCAACGAUGCGUAGCCGACCUGAGAGGGUGAUCGGCCACACUGGAACUGAGACACGGUCCAGACUCCUACGGGAGGCAGCAGUAGGGAAUCUUGCGCAAUGGGCGAAAGCCUGACGGAGCAACGCCGCGUGAGUGAUGAAGGUCUUCGGAUCGUAAAACUCUGUUAUUAGGGAAGAACAAAUGUGUAAGUAACUAUGCACGUCUUGACGGUACCUAAUCAGAAAGCCACGGCUAACUACGUG